rnacentral:rRNA from 1 species
UACGGGGGGGGGCAAGCGUUGUUCGGAAUUACUGGGCGUAAAGGGCUCGUAGGUGGCCAACUAAGUCAGACGUGAAAUCCCUCGGCUUAACCGGGGAACUGCGUCUGAUACUGGAUGGCUUGAGAUUGGGAGAGGGAUGCGGAAUUCCAGGUGUAGCGGUGAAAUGCGUAGAUAUCUGGAGGAACACCGGUGGCGAAGGCGGCAUCCUGGACCAACACUGACACUGAGGAGUGAAAGCCAGGGGAGCAAACGGGG